rnacentral:rRNA from 1 species
UUCUCGGCGGGGACCCAAGUACCCCUGGUGGGUGUGCUCGGGCCCGGCCAUCCUUCUGUAAACUUUCGCGCGUCCUUCACCGGUCGGCAAAGGGAUCAGAUAAUUUACCUUGAGAAAAUUAGAGUGUUUCAGGCAGGCUUAGCCGGAAUACAUUAGCAUGGAAUAAUGGAAUAGGACUGAGGUCUCGUUGUUGGUUACGCGGACUACAGUAAUGAUUAAUAGGGACAGUUGGGGGCAUUAGUAUUUAAUAGCUAGAGGUGGAAUUCUCUAAUUUGUUAAAGACUAACUUAUGCGAAAGCAUUUGCCAAGGAUGUUUUCAUUAAUCAAGAACGAAAGUUAGGGGAUCAAAGACGAUCAGAUACCGUCCUAGUCUUAACCAUAAACUAUGCCGACUCGGGAUCGGGAGCGUGUGUUAUCCGCUUUCGGCACCGUAU